rnacentral:rRNA from 1 species
UACGGGGGGGGCAAGCGUUGUUCGGAAUUACUGGGCGUAAAGGGCUCGUAGGCGGCCAACUAAGUCGGACGUGAAAUCCCCAGGCUCAACCUGGGAACUGCGUCUGAUACUGGAUGGCUUGAAUCCGGGAGAGGGAUGCAGAAUUCCAGGUGUAGCGGUGAAAUGCGUAGAUAUCUGGAGGAAUACCGGUGGCGAAGGCGGCAUCCUGGACCGGCCAUUGACGCUGAGGAGCGAAAGCCAGGGGAGCAAACGGG